rnacentral:pre_miRNA from 1 species
UGAGUACUCCCUCCGUUUGGAAUUACUUGUCUCGAAUAUGGAUGUAUCUAGAACUAAAAUACAUCUAGAUACAUCCAUUUUUGCAACAAGUAAUUCUGAACGGAGGGAGUACAUG